AGAGAGAGAGAGNGAGAGAGAGAGAGGGAGAGGAGAGCCCGGCUGGCUUUGCCCCUUCGAUGUACUUUAAUUAGGUUGUCUCCCAGCAUUGAAUUCUGUAUCGUUCUAGCUAAAUACGCAUUUUCUUUUAAGUUUUAUGCAAUAUUCUAUUAGGUUUUUAAGUAGCGAGCCCUUUUUGCUAUCAUGCACGGACUUUUCCUCACCUUAGCGUUUCCGACGUUUAGCAUCCAAGAGCGAAAAUCUACUAUGCAUAGCGGUUGGAUCGCAGGAUGAGCGGCUAAAACCCAGUUUCCGAGUGGGAGGAGACGGAGAGAAGUAUAAGAAGUUAAAAUUUUAAGUUUCU
rnacentral:lncRNA from 1 species